rnacentral:rRNA from 1 species
AUUGACCUCGGAUCAGGUAGGGAUACCCGCUGAACUUAAGCAUAUCAAUAAGCGAG